rnacentral:rRNA from 1 species
GACGAACGCUGGCGGCGUGCUUAACACAUGCAAGUCGAACGGAAAGGCCCUGCUUUUGUGGGGUGCUCGAGUGGCGAACGGGUGAGUAACACGUGAGUAACCUGCCCUUGACUUUGGGAUAACUUCAGGAAACUGGGGCUAAUACCGGAUAGGAGCUCCUGCUGCAUGGUGGGGGUUGGAAAGUUUCGGCGGUUGGGGAUGGACUCGCGGCUUAUCAGCUUGUUGGUGGGGUAGUGGCUUACCAAGGCUUUGACGGGUAGCCGGCCUGAGAGGGUGACCGGCCACAUUGGGACUGAGAUACGGCCCAGACUCCUACGGGAGACAGCGGUGGGGAAUAUUGCACAAUGGGCGGAAGCCUGAUGCAGCGACGCCGCGUGCGGGAUGACGGCCUUCGGGUUGUAAACCGCUUUCGCCUGUGACGAAGCGUGAGUGACGGUAAUGAGUAAAGAAGCACCGGCUAACUACGUG